rnacentral:tRNA from 1 species
GCCCAGGUGGUGAAAUCGGUAGACACAAGGGACUUAAAAUCCCUCGGCUUUGGCUGUGCGGGUUCGAGUCCCGCCUUGGGCA